rnacentral:rRNA from 1 species
AUUGAACGCUGGCGGCAGGCUUAACACAUGCAAGUCGAGCGGUUUAAUGUACUUGUACAUUAAAUAGCGGCGGACGGGUGAGUAAUGCUUAGGAAUUUGCCUAUUAGUGGGGGACAACAUUCCGAAAGGAAUGCUAAUACCGCAUACGCCCUACGGGGGAAAGCAGGGGAUUUUUGGACCCUGCGCUAAUAGAUGAGCCUAAGUCAGAUUAGCUAGUUGGUGGGGUAAAGGCCUACCAAGGCGACGAUCUGUAGCGGGUUUGAGAGGAUGAUCCGCCCCCCUGGGACUGAGACCCGGCCCCGACUCCUACGGGAGGCAGCAGUGGGGAAUAUUGGACAAUGGGCGCAAGCCUGAUCCAGCCCUGCCGCGUGUGUGAAGAAGGCCUUUUGGUUGUAAAGCACUUUAAGCGAGGAGGAGGCUACCUGGAUUAAUACUUUGGGAUAGUGGACGUUACAAAGGGAAUAAGCACCGGCUAACUUUGUG